rnacentral:ncRNA from 2 species
GAGACCCACUAGGGGUGCCGAAAGGCUGAGAGGUGCUGAACGCACCAACCCUUAGAACCUGAUCUGGGUAAUGCCAGCGGAGGGAAGUGGGUGUUGCAGGCG